GAUGAACGCUGGCGGCGUGCUUAACACAUGCAAGUCGAACGGAAAGGCUCCUGCUUGCAGGGGUACUCGAGUGGCGAACGGGUGAGUAACACGUGGGUGAUCUGCCCUGCACUUCGGGAUAAGCCUGGGAAACUGGGUCUAAUACCGGAUAGGACGAUGGUUUGGAUGCCAUUGUGGAAAGUUUUUUCGGUGUGGGAUGAGCUCGCGGCCUAUCAGCUUGUUGGUGGGGUAAUGGCCUACCAAGGCGUCGACGGGUAGCCGGCCUGAGAGGGUGUACGGCCACAUUGGGGCUGAGAUACGGCCCAGACUCCUACGGGAGGCAGCAGUGGGGAAUAUUGCACAAUGGGCGCAAGCCUGAUGCAGCGACGCCGCGUGGGGGAUGACGGCCUUCGGGUUGUAAACUCCUUUCGCUAGGGACGAAGCGCAAGUGACGGUACCUGGAGAAGAAGCACCGGCUAACUACGUG
rnacentral:rRNA from 1 species